AGUGAACGCUGGCGGUAGGCCUAACACAUGCAAGUCGAACGGCAGCACAGUAAGAGCUUGCUCUUACGGGUGGCGAGUGGCGGACGGGUGAGGAAUACAUCGGACUCUACUUUUUCGUGGGGGAUAACGUAGGGAAACUUACGCUAAUACCGCAUACGACCUACGGGUGAAAGGAGGGGAUCUUCGGACCUUGCGCGAUUGAAUGAGCCGAUGUCGGAUUAGCUAGUUGGCGGGGUAAAGGCCCACCAAGGCGACGAUCCGUAGCUGGUCUGAGAGGAUGAUCAGCCACACUGGAACUGAGACACGGUCCAGACUCCUACGGGAGGCAGCAGUGGGGAAUAUUGGACAAUGGGCGCAAGCCUGAUCCAGCCAUACCGCGUGGGUGAAGAAGGCCUUCGGGUUGUAAAGCCCUUUUGUUGGGAAAGAAAAGCAGCAGGUUAAUACCCCGCUGUUCUGACGGUACCCAAAGAAUAAGCACCGGCUAACUUCGUG
rnacentral:rRNA from 1 species